UUGAUCACUGGCUGGGAUUAGGUGAAACACGUAGAGUAGCAGUGUACACUUCCCAUAAAAAAAACCCCUGCAUAUGGGCUUUUGCUGGAGAGAAUGACUGUAAAUAUUCAAGAGCAAAGAGAAGCAAUGGAAAAUUUGUGGCUGUGAUUUUGAGUUGAUACUAGAAAAAUAUUUUUCAUCAUAAAGUGGAACAGUUCAGAUAUUAGCUAGCAGUUCUCCAACAAAGUGACAUACACCCCCUAUUAAGAACAGUCACAUGAAAAGAAAAUAAAUACUAUUUUAGUUGUGGUUCUUUCUGCAUAUGUUUUCUAAGAGAUUGUUCUGAAAUGGCACUUUUUUAUGUAACAAUCACGUCUGAAGUUUUAUCCUGUAGAAGUGAAAUUGAGUGAUUACUUUUCAAUCCCUCUGCCAGUUUUUUACAAGGUCUUAAUCUCAUUCAAGAAGUAAUAGACUAAGGAAUAUAUUGAAUACACUGGGUAAUUAACUGAAAUUGAAGUCAUUAAACAACUAGAAUAAGUGGCAGUUUCUACAGGCAGAAUUUGAAAAAAAUAAUAGAAGCAUGAAUGAUUAUAAAGAACUAUUUCAGAAGCAUGAACAGGAGAGGCAGAAGAUUAAGGACGUGCUGUGUCUUUUUCUAAGUUCUAAAGAACUUCUUUCCUAUGUGUGUGUUCCAGGUCUGCAAGUAAACAUUUUUGCUAGCAUAAGGAAAACUCAAUGAGCUCUGUGUGUAGCAGUUUACAGAAGCAACUGAAGCAGCCUGAAAUCAGGCCACUCAGAAACUGCAGCCCAUUGUCUGUAUAAGGAAUCCCACCUUUUCCACAGCACUUCAGUUUCUGCUUUUCAACAUUAGAGCUAUUAAAGACAUCAAUUAUGCAAAAGAGACUGAAGCAUUCUCAGUCAGGGAUUUUCUCAUCCCACUAAAACCACCUCAGGACAUGUAAAAGACAACAUCGAUAAACAUCUUGUGGAGAUGAAGCAGACUAUGAACCAUAGCGUUGGUAACUGUGGUAGGAAUUUUAAUGUCUGACUUGAACAAAUGACAAAAGAAAUUGUUCGUUAGGCCAAAUGAUCUUUUAGUGAAAAGGAAAGGAACCACUGGAGUGAAAUUCAGAGCAGGCAAGCUUUAAUAACUGUUUCAGGAGCUAACCACAAUUUGAACAGCCUAUUCUAUUGAAUUUAUCUCCCUGGUCAUCAAAAUGUGCUCAUAAGCAAAAUAAUUAUUGUGCUGCAUGAACUUUACUGUGGAGAGAAUAAGGAGCUGUCCCACAUGAUAUAAAGCAAUGUGUGUAUACCGAAGCAAUAGAGACAUUCUCAAAGGAUUUGCAGCAUUGCUGUAUGCCACAUGCAAUUCCCUCUAAAAUGAACUUUCUUAAGGUAUAAUCUCUUCCUGACAACAAUGAAUUCAAUGUGCAUGGAAGGUAGAUUCAAAUCAUCACCCAAUGAAUUGUUUGAAAGUGUCAGCUGAAUAUAUUGCAGUUGUUACCACAUGUGAACAUAUAUUGCUAAAUUCUUACAUGGUUAAAGUCCUUCAGUUUCACAAUGUUUUUGUAUGAGAAUAUUAUAAUAAUGAUACAAAAAGUGUGAUACAAUUGAGUUAACUCCUGCCCUCCCAUUGAAAGAAAAAGCAAAGUUUUGAAAAUGAGUAAAUUGAUCUUAAACAACUAGGGAAGAGGAUUGCCUAGAAGAAGAUGACUUCCUUCCACAUCCCAUGGCACCAAAAGGCUACAUUAGUUUCACAUUGAAGCCAUUUGAGUCAAUUGCAUUUCCAGACUUUAACAUCCCAUGGAAUUGCCUUGUCAUUGUGACAACCAAGAGAAAAUAGGAUAGGAAAAGGGAGGAAAUUGCAAAGCUGAGAGGAAAUUAGAUCAACUUUGCUUGUCAGAACUAUAACUCGUUGCACCCUGGAUCAAUUACCAACAUUAACUGGAGUUGCUUCUCAACAGAUUAAGCUGGAUUCUUUGGAGGUGAAGCAGGAGUUGGAAACCAGGGCUACACUGACUGAUCCAGCUCCCAAACUAUCAAGUCUUUUUUCUGUCUUUCUGUUAUUCAGUGAAUACUUUACAGAAUAGCAAUAAAAAAAUAAGUCUUCUUGAAGGGAAACAGAGAGAAUUAUGC